rnacentral:lncRNA from 1 species
AGUUCAACCUUAAAGAAAUACCAAAUGUACUGAUGACAGGGCGUAAUGGCCAGAUCAUAUUAAUUGUCUUGUUUGAUAAAAAUGUAUGUCUCUAAUAUUGUUAGCAAUACUCACAAUGUAUGUAUAUCUUUCCUGUAAAUUGCAUACUGGUAAAUGUAGACCACCUCAUAACAACUUAGGUAUAGGCCUAUGGAUUAUGAUGAAAUCAGUUUGUGCCUAAUUCCUACAUUUCCUGUGUGACAGAUCAAAUAGACAGUGUCCAUCUAAGAUGGGAUGGUGAUUAUAGGAGUAGUUGCCAGGCAACUAGGGAGAGGAACCAUGGUGAUACUAAGGGAAGAGGAGGGAGAAACAAGGGGCGUCUGAUGAGGAGGACAGUGUCUUUAUGGAUAGUUCAACAUGUAUUGCAACAUUGUUUCCAUGUAAGUACACCAUGGUCUUGUAGGCUAACCCUUUGUACUGGGAGUAUACCCUGCAAAUAGCCUCCUCUCUUAUUUCUUAUUUUGUGUGUUUUUUAAAAUGUUCCAAAUUUUAAUUAGUUAAACUUUUUUGAUAUUGAGUACUGCACUGUUG